rnacentral:lncRNA from 1 species
AUGAGCAUAUCAGUGGAUGCCACCACUACUGCAACAGCAUCAACAGUCUCACCAAGUGAUGCCACCACUGCCUCAAUUACAUCAACAGUCUCUCCAAGUGAUGCCACCACUGCCUCAAUUACAUCAACAGUCUCUCCAAGUGAUGCCACCACUGCCUUAACUACAUCAACAGUCUCUCCAAAGGAUGCCACCACUGACUCAACUACAUCAACAGUCUCGCCAAGUGAUGCCACCACUGCAUCAAUUACAUCAACAGUCUCCUCAAGUGAUGCCACCACUGCCAUAACUAGAUCAAAAGUCUCUCCAAGGGAUGCCACCACUGACUCAACUGCAUCAACAGUCUCUCCAAGUGAUGACUCCACUGCCUCAACUACAUCAACAGUCUCUCCAAGUGAUACCACCACUGACUCAACUACAUCAACAGUCUCUCCAAGUGAUGCCACCACUGCCUUAACUACAUCAACAGUCUCUCCAAAGGAUGCCACCACUGACUCAACUACACCAAUAGUCUUUCCAAGUGAUGCCACCACUGACUCAACUACAUCAACAGUCUCUCCAAGUGAUGACUCCACUGCCUCAACUACAUCAACAGUCUCUCCAAGUGUUGCCACCACUGACUCAACUACAUCAACAGUCUCUCCAAAGGAUUCCACCACUGACUCAACUGCAUCAACAGUCUCUCCAAGAGAUGCCACCACUGCCUCAACUACAUCAACAGGCUCUCCAAGUGAUGCCACCACUGACUCAACUACAUCAACAAUCUCUCCAAGUGAUGCCACCACUGACUCAACUGCAUCAACAGUCUCUCCAAGUGAUGCCACCACUGACUCAACAACAUCAACAGUUUCACCUAGUGAUGCCAACACUGCCUCAUUUACAUCAACAGUCUCUCCAAGUGAUACCACCACUGCCUUAACGAGAUCAACAGUCUCUCCAACGGAUGGCACCACUAAUUCAACUGCAUCAACAGUCUCUCCAAGUGAUGCCACCACUGCCUUAACUGCAUCAACAGUCUCUCCAAGAGAUGCCACCACUGCCUCAACUGCAUCAACAGUCUCUCCAAGUGUUGCCACCACUGACUCAACUACAUUGACAGUCUCUCCAAAGGAUGCCACCACUGACUCAACUGCAUCAACAGUCUCUCCAAGUGAUGCCACCACUGACUCAACUACAUCAACAGUCUCUCCAAGUGAUGCCACCACUGACUCAAUUACAUCAACAGUCUCUCCAAGUGAUGCCACCACUGACUCAACUACAUCAACAGUCUCUCCAAGUGAUGCCACAACUGCCUCAAUUACAUCAACUGUCUCUCCAAGGGAUGCCACCACUGCCUCAUCUACAUCAACAGUCUCUCUUAGUGAUGCAACCCCUGCCUUAACUACACCAACAAUCUCUUCAAGUGAUGCCACCACUGACUCAACUACACCAACAGUCUCGCUAAGUGAUGCCACCACUGCUUCAAGUACACCAACAGUCUCUUUAAGUGAUGCAACCACUGCCUUAACUACAUCAACAGUCUCUCCAAAGGAUGCCACCACUGACUCAACUGCAUCAACAGUCUCUCCAAAGGAUGCCACCACUGACUCAACUGCAUCAACAGUCUCUCCAAAGGAUGCCACCACUGCCUCAACUACAUCAACAGUCUCUCCAAGUGAUACCACCACUGACUCAACUACAUCAACAGUCUCUCCAAGUGAUCCCACCACUGACUCAACUACAUCAACAGUCUCACCUAGUGAUGCCACCACUGCCUCAUUUACAUCAACAGUCUCUCCUAGUGAUGCCACCACUGCCUCAUUUACAUCAACAGUCUCUCCUAGUGAUGCCACCACUGCCUCAAUCACAUCAACUGUCUCUCCAAGUGAUGCCACCACUGCUUCAACUACACCAACAGUCUCUCUAAGUGAUGCAACCACUGCCUUAACUACAUCAACAGUCUCUCCAAAGGAUGCCACCACUGACUCAACUGCAUCAACAGUCUCUCCAAAGGAUGCCACCACUGCCUCAACUGCAUCAACAGUCUCUCCAAAGGAUGCCACCACUGCCUCAACUACAUCAACAGUCUCUUCAAGUGAUGCCACCACUGCUUCAACUACAUCAACAGUUUAUCUAAGUGAUACAACCACUGCCUUAACUACAUCAACAGUCUCUCCAAGUGAUGCCACCACUGCCUUAACUUCAUCAACAGUCUCACCAAAGGAUGCCACCACCGACUCAACUACAUCAACAGUCUCUCCAAGUGAUGCCACAACUGCCUCAAUUACAUCAAAAGUCUCUCCAAGGGAUGCCACCACUGCCUCAACUACAUCAACAGUCUUUCUAAGUGAUGCAACCACUGCCUUAACUACACCAACAAUCUCUCCAAGUGAUGCCACCACUGACUCAACUACAUCACAAGUCUCGAUAAGUGAUGCCACCACUGCCUCAAUUACAUCAACUGUCUCUCCAAGUGAUGCCACCACUGCUUCAACUACAUCAACAGUCUCUCUAAGUGAUGCAACCACUGCCUUAACUACAUCAACAGUCUCUCCAAGUGAUGCCACCACUGCCUCAAUUACAUCAACAGUCUCUCCAAGUGAUGCCACCACUGCUUCAACUAUAUCAACAGACUCUCUAAGUGAUGCAACCACUGCCGUAACUACAUCCACAGUCUCUCCAAAGGAUGCCACCACUGACUCAACUGCAUCAACAGUCUCUCCAAAGGAUGCCACCACUGACUCAACUAAAUCAACAGUCUCUCUAAGUGAUGCCACCACUGACUCAACUACAUCAACAGUCUCUCCAAGUGAUGCCACCACUGCCCUAACUACAUCAACAGUCUCUCCAAAGGAUGCCACCACUGACUCAACUACACCAACAGUCUCUCCAAGUGAUGCCACAACUUACUCAACUACAUCAACAGUCUCUCCAAGUGAAGUCAUUAGUCCCUUUACCUCGUUGACGUUCACGUCAAGUGAUAACUCCACUACCCGUCAGAGCUCAAUGGGAGACAUUGUUUCUGCAUCAGCCCCCACAGCAUCAACAGCUACUUCGAGUGUUGCCAUCUCUUCCUUAACUCUUUCCACAGUCUCAUCAAGUGAUGUAACCCCUCCCUCAAAUAUAUUGCCGGUCUCUUCAGUUGAUGCCAGAACUUCCCCUGCUCUGUCUAGAGUCACUUCAACUGAUACCACCACUUCAGGUGAUGUCAUCACUUCCUCUAUGACAUUGACAGUCACUUCAAGUGAUGCCUCUAGAAGAAAUCAGACCUCAAUGGGAGAAACUCUUACUGCAACAGCUCCCACAAUAUCAACAGUCCCUUCAACUGAUGCUCCCUCAAAUACCGUUGUUUUAAAUGAUGCCAAAACUCCUCAUAGUACAAUCACAGUCCCUUCAAGUGAUGCCAACAAUCCCUCAACUACAUCAACAGCCACUUCAAACGAUGCCUUAAUGUCUUCUAUUCUUUCUACAGUCACUUUAAGUGAUUCUACUACUUUAUCUACUUCAAUGACAGGCUCUACAAAUGAUGUUCCAGCAAACACUUCAGUGAAAAACACUACUGUCAGAUGUGUAUCAAGUGCUGUUGUAAAUGCCAUUAGGCUGGAAAAUGUUACUAAUCAGGUUAUCACUGCAAGUUGGAUGGGCAUCAACCUGAAUCAAGAAAUUCAGUACACAGUGAAGUUGGUGUCUUAUUCAUCCUCAAUCCAGAACGAGACCUCAGUCACCAAAGCUGUUUUCUUAGACCUUACUCCAGCAACCAUGUACACUCUCACUAUUGAGUACUUAUCCUGUGGCGUCAAGAAAAACAUUUCAAUAGACGUAGUCACAACUGGAAAGGUCUAUGAAUGUUCCACUCGAAUUCCGAGUGGAGAGUUUUUCUCUGAUUAUUUAAAUCAAUCCAGCAGCCUUUAUAAAGACUUUGUGAUCAAUUUCACCAUCCAGGUUGUAAAUAAUCUCCCAAAACAAUACCAGGACCUUAUAAGUGCUCAACAAAUGAUGGUGAUUGUGAGAGAUGUUCGCCAAGGAAGUGUGAUCGUUGACUUUGAUCUGGUGACUGCUUUCGAUGUUAACCUAUCAACGUCUGAUGUCAGGACGAGUGUCAUCAAUGCCCUGAACUUAUCUACACUCAGAGUAGAUCUCAAUAGUACCCAUGUUCAAGAUGCAGAUCUUUGCCAAAGAGGAAUUUACGCAUGCUCACAAAAUGCCAGUUGUGUCACAGAGGGACCUUCAUAUUCAUGUAACUGUAAGGCGGGAUUCAAUGACAUAAACCCAGUGGUGCCUGGUACUGACUGCAUGAGCAUAUCAGUGGAUGCCACCACUACUGCAACAGCAUCAACAGUCUCGCCAAGUGAUGCCACCACUGCCUCAAUUACAUCAACAGUCUCUCCAAGUGAUGCCACCACUGACUCAACUCCAUCAACAGUCUCUCCAAGUGAUGCCACCACUGCCUCAACUACAUCAACAGUCUCGCCAAGUGAUGCCACUACUGCCUUAACUACAUCAACAGUCUCUCCAAGUGAUGCCACCACUGACUCAACUACAUCAACAGUCUUUCCAGGUGAUGCCAACACUGACUCAACUACAUCAGCCGACUCUUCAAGAGAUGCCUCCACUGCUAUAACUACAUCAACAGUCUCUCCUAAUUAUGCCACCAGUGCCUCAAAUGCAUCAAAAGUCUCUCCAAAUGAUACCACCGCUGACUCAGCUACAUUAACAGUCUUUCCAAGUGAUGCCACCACUGCCUCAACUUCAUCAAAGGUCUCUCCAAGUGAUGCCACCACUUACUCAAUUACAUCAACAGUCUCUCCAAGUGAAGCCACAACCUACUCAACUACAUCAACAGUCUCUCCAAGUGAGGCUAUCACUGACUCAACUACACCAACAGUCUCUCCAAGUGAUGCCACAACUUACUCAACUACAUCAACAGUCUCUCCAAGUGAAGUCAUUAGUCCCUUUACCUCGUUGACGUUCACGUCAAGUGAUAACUCCACUACCCGUCAGAGCUCAAUGGGAGACAUUGUUUCUGCAUCAGCCCCCACAGCAUCAACAGCUACUUCGAGUGUUGCCAUCUCUUCCUUAACUCUUUCCACAGUCUCCUCAAGUGAUGUAACCCCUCCCUCAAAUAUAUUGCCGGUCUCUUCAGUUGAUGCCAGAACUUCCCCUGCUCUGUCUAGAGUCACUUCAACUGAUACCACCACUUCAGGUGAUGUCAUCACUUCCUCUAUGACAUUGACAGUCACUUCAAGUGAUGCCUCUAGAAGAAAUCAGACCUCAAUGGGAGAAACUAUUACUGCAACAGCUCCCACAAUAUCAACAGUCCCUUCAACUGAUGCUCCCUCAAAUACCGUUGUUUUAAAUGAUGCCAAAACUCCUCAUAGUACAAUCACAGUCCCUUCAAGUGAUGCCAACAAUCCCUCAACUACAUCAACAGCCACUUCAAACGAUGCCUUAAUGUCUUCUAUUCUUUCUACAGUCACUUUAAGUGAUUCUACUACUUUAUCUACUUCAAUGACAGGCUCUACAAAUGAUGUUCCAGCAAACACUUCAGUGAAAAACACUACUGUCAGAUGUGUAUCAAGUGCUGUUGUAAAUGCCAUUAGGCUGGAAAAUGUUACUAAUCAGGUUAUCACUGCAAGUUGGAUGGGCAUCAACCUGAAUCAAGAAAUUCAGUACACAGUGAAGUUGGUGUCUUAUUCAUCCUCAAUCCAGAACGAGACCUCAGUCACCAAAGCUGUUUUCUUAGACCUUACUCCAGCAACCAUGUACACUCUCACUAUUGAGUACUUAUCCUGUGGCGUCAAGAAAAACAUUUCAAUAGACGUAGUCACAACUGGAAAGGUCUAUGAAUGUUCCACUCGAAUUCCGAGUGGAGAGUUUUUCUCUGAUUAUUUAAAUCAAUCCAGCAGCCUUUAUAAAGACUUUGUGAUCAAUUUCACCAUCCAGGUAACUAUUCAGUAA